rnacentral:ncRNA from 1 species
AUGUUGUAUGUAAGGAGAGAAAGCUUGAAAUUCCCCUUGACAAGGAGAGGGGGCCCUCCCCCCCACCUCCGGGGGAGGGGGGGCUAACAACUUCUAUCUGGUUAAGGCAUUGCCAUCUACUUUGUGACAUCUAACCAGUGUU